CCUGGAAGGUUCCAGGGCUGUAGAGGAGGCCAGCGUGGCUGGGACAGGCUGAGCAACGGAGAGGGGAAGGCAGAGAGGCCAUUCUGCCCCUGAUGAAGUUCCUGGAGGUGGAGCUUUGCUACAUGAACACCAACUUGGUGCAGGAGAACUUCAGUAGCCUCCUGACCCUGCUCUGGACCCACACGCUCACAGUGCUGGUGGAGGCGGCCGC
rnacentral:sRNA from 1 species